rnacentral:ncRNA from 1 species
GAUUUCUGUCUAGUACUCUGAUCGUCAAAGUAAAGACACUGAAAGAAGUGCAGGUAACUGAUGGGAAUAUCUAAGACUCUCUUUAGGUAGCCAAAUACCUUAUCUUCUUAUUAGUGAUGCCCAUGAACGGAU